UACGUAGGGGGCAAGCGUUGUCCGGAUUUAUUGGGCGUAAAGAGCGUGUAGGCGGCCUGAAGGGUCAGCUGUGAAAACUCGAGGCUCAACCUCGAGACGUCGGUUGAAACCAUCUGGCUAGAGUCCGGAAGAGGAGUGUGGAAUUCCCGGUGUAGCGGUGAAAUGCGCAGAUAUCGGGAGGAACACCGGUGGCGAAGGCGGUUCUCUGGGCCUUACCUGACGCUGAGGAGCGAAAGCGUGGGGAGCGAACAGG
rnacentral:rRNA from 1 species